GAUGAGCGCUGGCGGCGUGCCUAAUACAUGCAAGUCGAGCGAACGGACGAGAAGCUUUCUUCUCUGAUGUUAGCGGCGGACGGGUGAGUAACACGUGGAUAACCUACCUAUAAGACUGGGAUAACUUCGGGAAACCGGAGCUAAUACCGGAUGAUAUUUUGAACCGCAUGGUUCAAAAGUGAAAGACGGUCUUGCUGUCACUUAUAGAUGGAUCCGCGCUGCAUUAGCUAGUUGGUAAGGUAACGGCUUACCAAGGCAACGAUGCAUAGCCGACCUGAGAGGGUGAUCGGCCAAACUGGAACUGAGACACGGUCCAGACUCCUACGGGAGGCAGCAGUGGGGAAUCUUCCGCAAUGGGCGAAAGCCUGACGGAGCAACGCCGCGUGAGUGAUGAAGGUCUUCGGAUCGUAAAACUCUUUUAUUAGGGAAGAACAUAUGUGUGAGUAACUGUGCACAUCUUGACGGUACCUAAUCAGAAAGCCACGGCUAACUACGUG
rnacentral:rRNA from 1 species